rnacentral:misc_RNA from 1 species
UCCGGUUUGUCACCGGCAGUCUCCUUAGAGUGCCCUUGCGUAGCAACUAAGGACAAGGGUUGCGCUCGUUGCGGGACUUAACCCAACAUCUCACGACACGAGCUGACGACAGCCAUGCAGCACCUGUGUUCAGGCUCUCUUUCGAGCACCUCAGCCUUUCAGCCAAGUUCCUGACAUGUCAAGGGUAGGUAAGGUUUUUCGCGUUGCAUCGAAUUAAUCCACAUCAUCCACCGCUUGUGCGGGUCCCCGUCAAUUCCUUUGAGUUUUAAUCUUGCGACCGUACUCCCCAGGCGGUCGACUUCACGCGUUAGCUGCGUUACCAAGCCAAUGAAGGCCCGACAACUAGUCGACAUCGUUUAGGGCGUGGACUAC